CGGGAGCUGGGGUGUGGAGCGCUCACACGUUAGGGCGGGCUCUCGAGGCCUAGCCGUGCCUCCGACCAGAAAGCCACAGGAGCGGGCAUUUGGGGGGCCUGGCCAUUCCGGGAGACGACCGAGAUGAGUGCGACAGCCGCCCGCCGUCGAGCCUCCGCUUCCUGACGGGGAGCGCGACGGCCUGUCGGGAGACCCCGCGCGUAAUGUGCCCAGGCGGCCUUUUGUGUCCCGAAGGCCCGGAUGUCGGCGUCGGUGGUAGCCACCUGGCUUAGGUUCGCUUCCAACAGAUGACUGAUAAGCAAAGAGAAUCACAGGGCGCCACCCCACAGGGACUCAUUUGGCCCGACCCGACGUCAGGGGUCCCCUAGAGCAAUGGGGGUUCCGAGUGUGCCCGCAGGCCCCUGAAAUGAGGGGUCCGAGGGAGCCCCCGUGGCUAACACUUGGAGAGCCCAGAAGAUGGAAAAGCGCUUCCUUGGGCAAUCUACCGGAGUCCAAGUAUAGGUCUCCGUAUUUUGUUUCCCCCAACUCGAUAUUCUCUUCAAGCACGAUAACUCACGGAGCCCGGCGUGGUGGGAGAAAGAAAAGAAAAAAGUGCUAUGUUAGAUACUAAAGAAGGCUGCCCCACAAUCCACAUGCAUCUGCUUUGCCUGAUGGCUUCUGUCAACCUCCAAAGACUGACUUACUGGUGACACCUCUGAGAGCACCACACUUAGCGCAAUCCGUCUUGGGCACACGCUAGGAAGGAGCGCCUUCUGGACAUAGCACCUCAGAUAAGUGCACAAAAGCAAGACACCCUCGUGGACUUCCUCCUCCCGCUCUCCACACCCUGACGCCUGAAGAUGCUCUGUAGAUUCGCCCCAAGCCAGCCAUCUUGACAUACCUGCCUGGGCAGCAGAGAGCUCUGGAGAAAGUAUGGGUGAAACGAUGCUAUGGUAAUAGUGUGUAGAGUUUGACAGCAGUAUCGAGCUGAGGAGGAGAAGAUGGAAAGGAGUCUAGCAACUUAAAAUCUCAUAGCGUUCUCUGUGAGGUGACCUUUCUCCUGUUGGUGGCUCAAUCUAUUUACGAGAGAAAGAAGAUGCUGAGGUCUGGGACAGUGUCACUGGGUCAUGUCUGAGCUUAUUGACCGUUUCCCCUUUUCCAUAUUCUUACGAUCAUUUGCUUUAUGUGUUCGUACACGGACUCAUUUGUUUUGUUUCUUAUUGAGACAUAAAGUACCACAUGGCCAUUGGAAGUUCUGAUGAAAUAACUUUACGCCUCUGUCCUAAAACAGUGGCCUGCCCGUAAAACUUCAGAGAGAAAGUUGAUGAAAACUCUUGUUGUGGUGUUUUAUGACUUGAAAUUUCAAGUACUCCUUUUUAUCUUAAGCGUUUGUUAAGUUUGAUGAGGACUUUACAGCUGACCUUGAUGUCACUCCGUGGCAGGCUUGUGGUGGCCUGUCACGAGUGGACCUGCCGGAGCAAACUUGUGCAGACCUAUCAAGAGCUGGAGAUCAGUGUUUUCUCCUGAAGGACAAAGUAGCAACAUUUCACUCCCUAACCGGAGUACACUUGCUAAUGAACCCAUAAAUAAACAUCCCCUAGCAUGUC